rnacentral:rRNA from 1 species
AUGGGCGGACACGACAUCCAAUCGCCCGAUUUCAGGGGUGUAUUCGCCUGGCCGAUCAAAUUAACAGCGCAUGAACGAUACAAUCUAACUACUGCAAUCAAAUCCGCUCUCUAUAUUCACAGAAAAACAACAAAUCCACAUAAGCCGCGGAAACCACUCCCGCGGACGAAGAACACAGAACCCGAAAUCAAAUCCGUUGAAAUUAACGACAAAUUGUCCACGAAACUCGUACCUACACCAAAUUCCCAUCAUGUUAGAGGUUCUAGAACAUCCAGUGAAUGCAUUAAACUUGUAAACAGACACAAGUUCAUCCGCCCCGAGAGUGAAUCCGCCAAAAUACAAAAUUAUGAAUCAAAACGAGCAUUUAGAUGCAGGUGGUGGAAAUGUUGCCCCUCCUCCUCCUCCUCCUCUAGAAGCAUAGACAAUGGAUUAAAGAAGAAACAACUUGACAACAGAAGCAAUGGGACAUAUUUCCGAGAACAACACUUGGAAAUACCAUCUUUCCCGAGAGCGCACGCUCGUAAGAGGGCUCACCUGAGUGAUAGCACAAACUUUUCCAAGAGCCCCUCUCGGCAAAGUGAUUGGGUCCAAUGGGUCCACGUGUCAGGUCAAAAUGUUUCAGUGACAGUGUCCGUGGUUUGGCCCUCGGCGAAGAGCCGACCACUCAGCCUAGGUGACAUGCAACGGCCGGCGACGAACUACGACCAUGAUGCGACGUUGACUGUUCUGCUUCCAAUCAUCCUCCCUGCAGGUCGAUGCAAUGUACACUCCCUGUUGAUUUAUCCGGCGAAACAUUCACAAUACGUAGCACAGCUGAUCGACUUGAUCUACCAGUAUUCAUCCACGGACGCGGAAGCUGGCUUGAUUGCAAGUUUACACGGACAUCGAUCUGCACGGGAACAAGAUUUUUGCAACCGUCGCUUCAAUGGGAUAGGGCACCUGUAUAAUCUACCCGAUAAUAUACCGUACCUCCGCACAACCGCCUCGGCGACGACGCAACCGUCUCCCUCCUGCCGUCGUCGUCGCCAGCUAGCGAUGGCGUCCCAGCCACCGCCUCAAGCCCAAGAAGGCGAUCUUGGGCGCUACCUCCACUCGCCUCCCGCUUCCGACGCCGGUGCCGUCCUCGGCGAGAAGGCGACCGUCUCCCUCGCGCCGACCCUUUCGCCGGCGAUGGCGUCCCAGACACCGCCUCAAGCCCAAGAAGGCGAUCUUGGGCGCUACCUCCACUCGCCUCCCGCUUCCGACGCCGGUGCCGUCCUCGGCGAGAAGGCGACCGUCUCCCUCGCGCCGUCCUCUUCGCCGGCAAUGGCGUCCCAGCCACCGCCUCGAGCCCAAGAAGACGAUCUUGGGCGCUACCUCCACUCGCCUCCCGCUUCCGACGCCGGUGCCGUCCUCGGCGAGAAGGCGACCGUCUCCCUCGCGCCGACCCUUUCGCCGGCGAUGGCGUCCCAGACACCGCCUCAAGCCCAAGAAGGCGAUCUUGAGGGCUUCGUCCCGUCGUCCCCCUCCUCCUCGUCUGCCUCCGGGGCCGACUCCGAGCACCGCCGCGCGGUGGACGACCUGCUCGUCCUCUACUCGUCCGACUCCGACGACCAGCUGCUCCUCCUCUACUCAUCUGACUCCGACGACCAGCUGCUCCUCCUCUACUCAUCUGACUCCGACGACGAGCCAACCCGUACAGCCAGCACCACACCGCCGCCCCCUAAACCAUCCCCAUCUCCUCUGCCAUUGCCUUCGCCGUCACCAAUGAGAUUGACAGCCGCCUCCGCCUCCAUCGAAAAGCUCCUGGACGGCUCCGAAGCGAUCCUUUCAACUGGAAAUACAGAAGUAGAAGUUGCUGGGGUGAUCGAAGAAACACGCAGUGAAGUUCAUUUCCUCAAGAUUGAUGGUUACCGCACCAUCCGAGAGCUACUAUAUUGCUCUGAUUACUGGAUCGAAUCCAGGUGGAAGGUUGGUGGCUUUGAGUGGGGAGUGGAAAUCAACGUGUCAACAUUUGUGGAGUUCAGGCUCAUCUUUCUCAGCCAAGGAUGCAGUACGACCAACGUGGAAGCUACUCUGAGCUGUCGUCUGGUUGAUCCGAGGGGCAUCGCUGAGCCGUCCGAACAGAAAUGUUCAUCGGGUACGUUCAAUCGCCACCCAAAUGGCCCUCCUCGUUGGGCUGGUGAUUGGUCGAAACUACGCUUCAUUCUUGUGUCAUCACAAGAACUGGAAGCCUCUGCCUAUCUUAAGGACGAUUCCUUCACGGUAGAAUGCACCUUGUCUGUGUUGAACAUCGCGCAACCAGCUGACCUAUCAUCAUCAGUGCCGGACUCCUUAGGCCAGCACCUCGCCGAGCUCCUGCAGAGUGGGAUGGAGGCUGAUGUUGAGUUUGUUGUGGCUGGGCAGUCCUUCCUUGCUCACAAGGACAUAGUAGCAGCAAGGUCUCCGGUAUUCAUGGCAGCGUUCUUCGGGCAGAUGAGGGAGGCGAACUCUCGGACUGUCGUGAUCGAGGACAUGGAAGCUGCAGCAUUCGAGGCCAUGAUGCACUUCAUUUACACAGACACGGUGCCUGAACUUGAUUCUCAGGACGAAGCGGCGACCACAAUGGCCCAACAUCUUCUUGUAGCUGGCGACAGGUACGGAAUGGAUAGGCUGAAGCUGCUUUGCGAGAACAAGUUGUUUAGUUGCAUCACGGCAGAGAAUGCAAGGACAACAUUGGCCUUAGCUGAGCAACACAAUUGCAGACGGCUCAGGGCCAAGAUCCAGUUAAUGUUGCGCACGCUCCCACGGUAG